CAAUUUUAUUCAGUACCGGUAGUAAUACAUACAUAAAUAUAAAAUAAAGAUAAAGUUACGAAAAGAAGGUACUAGCUAACUGUAAUAACCAAAAGGCUAAUCGAGACAGUCAGCGAAUUUGAUUAGUAACAAAAUAUAUUUUAGUGGGUAAACUGAAUAAAUAAAACACAUGCAAUAAAGAUUUCAAAAUGGACAAUUUUGAUGCUAUAAGCUAAUAUGAAUUCAAUAUAUUAUUUUUAAGUUUGUGUUUAAACUGUGAUUUAGAAAGACCCUUAAGAUUUUCGUCAAUUGAAUUCCACACAUUACUGCCAACAAACCGUAUAUUAAAUUUUCCAUAGUUGGUUCUUACUUUUGGAAGGGAGUAUGACGAUCUCGAAGCAAGUCUGGUGUUAUAGUUAUGUUUUUGGCUUACUAAUGCAAAAUACUCAUCAAAUACGUGAGGAAGUCGACCUGUAUGAAAGUCGUACAUAAAUAGUGCAUUAUGAUAAAAAAUAAGGUCAUGAAACUUGAGAAAACGAAGUUGAAUGAAGAGAGGGUUAGUAUGAUCUUGAUAGUUAGAAAAUGUUAUUAAACGAAUAAUCUUUUUUUGUAGGAUAGCUAAUGGAUUCACUGUUGUAUUGUACGUGUUACCCCAAGCAACUAGAGCGUAUGUAAGAAAUGGAUAGUAACCUUAGUAAAUAGAUCAAUAGAUGUCGUCAACACAACGUCGUCCGCAACACAAGCUGAUUUCUACGAAGGGCGUGUACAACAUAGACAGAUUUUCAAAUUUUGCGG